rnacentral:rRNA from 1 species
AUGCAAGUCGAGGGGCAUCGGGAAGAAAGCUUGCUUUCUUUGCUGGCGACCGGCGCACGGGUGAGUAACACGUAUCCAACCUGCCCUUUACUCGGGGAUAGCCUUUCGAAAGAAAGAUUAAUACCCGAUAGCAUAAUGAUUCCGCAUGGUUUCAUUAUUAAAGGAUUCCGGUAAAGGAUGGGGAUGCGUUCCAUUAGGUUGUUGGUGAGGUAACGGCUCACCAAGCCUUCGAUGGAUAGGGGUUCUGAGAGGAAGGUCCCCACAUUGGAACUGAGACACGGUCCAAACUCC